rnacentral:rRNA from 1 species
GACGAACGCUGGCGGCGUGCUUAACACAUGCAAGUCGAGCGGUAAGGCCCUUUCGGGGGUACGACGAGCGGCGAACGGGUGAGUAACACGUGGGUGACCUGCCCUCAGCUCUGGGAUAAGCCUGGGAAACCGGGUCUAAUACCGGAUAUGACUCCAUGACGCAUGUUGUGGGGUGGAAAGCCUUGUGCGGCUGAGGAUGGGCCCGCGGCCUAUCAGCUUGUUGGUGGGGUGAUGGCCUACCAAGGCGACGACGGGUAGCCGGCCUGAGAGGGCGACCGGCCACACUGGGACUGAGACACGGCCCAGACUCCUACGGGAGGCAGCAGGUGGGGAAUCUUGCGCAAUGGGCGAAAGCCUGACGCAGCGACGCCGCGUGAGGGAUGACGGCCUGUGU